rnacentral:rRNA from 1 species
CGGGUGAGUAACGCGUAGGUAAUCUAUCCUUACAUUUGGGAUAACAUUGGGAAACUGGUGCUAAUACCGAAUGGUCUUCUUUGCUGCGGGGCGAAGGAGUAAAGGUGGCCUCUUCAUGAAAGCUACCGUGUAGGGAUGAGCCUGCGUACCAUUAGCUAGUAGGUGGGGUAACGGCCCACCUAGGCUACGAUGGUUAGCGGGUCUGAGAGGAUGAUCCGCCACACUGGAACUGUAACACGGACCAG